GACGAACGCUGGCGGCGUGCUUAACACAUGCAAGUCGAACGGUAAGGCCCUUCGGGGUACACGAGUGGCGAACGGGUGAGUAACACGUGGGUGAUCUGCCCUGCACUUCGGGAUAAGCCUGGGAAACUGGGUCUAAUACCGGAUAGGACCACUGCCUGCAUGGGUGGUGGUGGAAAGCUUUUGCGGUGUGGGAUGGGCCCGCGGCCUAUAAGCUUGUUGGUGGGGUGAUGGCCUACAAAGGCGACGACGGGUAGCCGGCCCGAGAGGGUGACCGGCCACACUGGGACUGAGAUACGGCCCAGACUCCUACGGGAGGCAGCAGUGGGGAAUAUUGCACAAUGGGCGCAAGCCUGAUGCAGCGACGCCGCGUGAGGGAUGACGGCCUUCGGGUUGUAAACCUCUUUCAGCACCGACGAAGCGCAAGUGACGGUAGGUGCAGAAGAAGGACCGGCCAACUACGUGCCAGCCGCCGCGGUAACAC
rnacentral:rRNA from 1 species